rnacentral:rRNA from 1 species
AUUGAACGCUGGCGGUAUGCUUAACACAUGCAAGUCGAACGAUGAGAAAGAGCUUGCUCUUUCGAUUAGUGGCGGACGGGUGCGUAACGCGUAGGAAUCUACCUAUUAGUGGGGGACAACUUAGGGAAACUUAAGCUAAUACCGCAUACGCCCUACGGGGGAAAGAAGGGGAUCGCAAGACCUUUUGCUAAUAGAUGAGCCUGCGUAGGAUUAAGUAGUUGGUGGGGUAAAAGCUCACAAAGGCGACGAUCCUUAACGUGUUUGAGAGAAUGAUCAGUCACACUGGAACUGGGACACGGUCCAGACUCCUACGGGAGGCAGCAGUGGGGAAUAUUGGACAAUGGGCGAAAGCCUGAUCCAGCAAUACCGCGUGUGUGAAGAAGGCCUUAGGGUUGUAAAGCACUUUCAAUUGGAAGGAAAACCUCGAAGCUAAUACCUUCGAGUUUGACAUUACCUUUAGAAGAAGCACCGGCUAACUCCGUGCCAGCCGCCGCGGUAA